GUGAUCCCACCGAAGAAACCGCGUCGGGAGAAACAAGAUGGCGCUGACGCCUCCCCGGGCAUGUUGGGAAAUGUAGUUUCGUCCGCAUUUUGUCCCAAAAUGGCGUCGGCUGCGCGACGCCAAAGAGCAGAGAUUGUAUUGCUCAGUCUAGGCUCAUGUUGAACGUUAUAGGAAAGAAGCAGCUUUUAGGGGAGAGACCUAUAUGGUAUUUAUUUGUUAAUAGAUCUGCAUAUCGCCCUUCAAGUACAGUUUUCCAGGGUGCCUUACGCUACAAAAGUAAAUCAUCAAAUAAAAAAGCUCAGAAAUAAGGAAACAGCAGCAGAACCUUGGGGUCUGUCUGGGUGAAAGCUGGAACGGGGCAGAACAACCCCUUAACAAUCGAACUGGAUCCCCAAACCAGAGGGAUGUGUUAGAGACACUGGAGAACAAUAUUUGAGCACUGAAAUAUUUCCAAUCUUGCACUGAGUCCCCUUUUAGUGCCCAAAAUGGACCGGAAUGGCACAACUGCCUGAAAUAGCCCAGAAUGGCACCCAAACUGCCAAGCUGCAAUGCAUCCCCAAAAUAGUGGAAUGGGCUGCAGGCACGGGAUAAGGGUAUUGCAACACUAUUUCCAAUCUUGCAUUUUUAUGAACGUCUUCUGUCCCCAAAAUUGAACAACCCCCUACUAGCCCAAGUUAAUUCCCAAAAUAGUGGAAUGGGUUGCAGACAGUGGAGAAGAAUAUUGUGGCACUGAAAUAUUUCCAAUCUUGCAUUUUUAUGAACCAAUUUAGUGCCAAAAAUGGACCAGAAUGGCACAAAGGCCUGAAACAGCCUAGAAUGGCACCCAAACUGUCAAGCUGCAUCCCAAAAACAGUGGAAUGGGCUGCCGGCACGGGGGAAAAGAAUUGCAGCACUAAAAUAUUUCCAAUCUUGCAUUUUUAUGAACCCCUUCAGUGCCAAAAAUGGACUGGAAUUGUGCAAUCGCCUGAAACAACCCAGAAUGGACCCCAAACUGUCAAGUCGCAUCCCCAAAAUUUAGAGAUGUUCUGCUAUUUCUCACUUCCACCAACUUGUAUAUUUGUGUAUAUAAACCAAAAAUCCCAAAAAUCUGCAUUAACUCUCCUUCCAAGAGAAACUUGAAUCCAAAGCAUCCUACAAAGCCCUGAAACUUUCCAUUGCUGUCUGGGAAAGUGGGGCAACUCAGUCCUAGGGUUUCCGCCAUGUACCCAGCAAGCAGAAGAUAUGCACAGAUCCAGGUUUCUGAGUACAGAAUGAACUCCCAGAUAUGUAAGAAGCACAUGGGAUUGAGCACCAGGGAGUGGUCACACAGCAGAAGACACAAACACAUAUUUUAUUCCAGGACUGGAGACAGGACAAUAUUCUGAGGAGGUUUUGGUUGUUGUUUUUUAAAAGAGAAUUUAAAGAAGUUUGAGAGAUGCAUGCUUCAUUUUACAUGCUAUACAUACAAUUCUGUUCCUACUGUUGCCUAUGCUCAGAUAUGUCAGGGUAGGCAUUAGGUACCUCAAGAGCUAUGAGAAGCUCUUUGGCUUAUCUGAAGAAGCUCUCUAGGGAGUUAGUCACAAAUGCCUUCAUGCUGCGGGGUAUGUGAAGAGCGCAUCUGCUUCGCAACAGAUUUGUAAGAUGUUUAAUUUGGGGGAUUAAAUGGACAUUUCGCAUAGGGUUGGCUCCUCUCUGCAGUCCCUGGCAGAUCUUUUUCCUGUGUGUUCCUCCUGGCUUACUCCGGGUUAUUCCUCCAACCAAUCACAAAUCACAUCAGAGAGGAGGAGAGCGAGAGAGCUUUUUUGUUGUUGUUAGUUUGACAGCUGAGAAUGGAAGAAUGGCAGGACGAGUUGCCAAGCAGGCGGAUCAAACAGCAGAAUGCUUAACCUGAGCCUGCAGAAUCUGACCCAAAUCUUUGCUGAUUUUUAUAAUGAACUUGCCUAUGUGAGUGAAUGCCUUCAUCACCUCAUGCCCCACCCCUUCACCCCAGACCAUCUAAGAGGCAGGGAAGUUUCAGGUGAAUCUGCUCAGACAAAAAGGUCUCAAGUUACAUCAAGCUAUAGCUUCCAUUUUGCAUUUCUAAAGCCUAUGUUAAGACCCACAUUUUGCAGUCUGUGCUUGCUUUUAACUCAGGAAUUUCUCCCUCCCCUUCCCCUCCCUCCACAGAAUUUAACCAAUCUGCUAAAACCCUUUCUCCCUCCACCACUGCUCCAUGCUUGCAAUUCCAAAUACUCAGAGCAGACCAUAUCAAACACAGCUGUCAAACUCUCCUUCAUUGAGUUUUGAACAACGUCGUGGCCACUCCACACAUCAAGGGAGAAGCGGCAGGGCAAACAGAAGUCCUGUUUUUUCCUCCCCAAAGCCGCUGAAACUAGAGGAUUUUUAAAAAGCCAGACAUACUUUGGACUAGGCCAGCAUGUGCAGCAUUGAUUCAGGGUAAAACAGAGUCAAGUCUGUACUGGUCCCUGAUAGCCUGCAGGGACUUUGGGGUAAAUGCAGCUAAUAUGUGGACUGGCACACUCCAUUCCCAAGGAGAUUCAAAGUAAAAACUGUGUGUGUAAAACCUCCAGGGCAUGUUUCACACAGGGCCUCUAGCUCUCCUCUCCUCCAGAAUGGAGAUUGUGCGUUCACAUAUUGGCCUGAUUGACCCCGAAGUCCCUGCAAGCUAUUGGGGAAACACUUCUCACAUAUUCAAGUUUUUCAUUGUGAUUAGAUUGUAGCCUGAUUUAUAUAUCAGCUGCAGUGAUGCAGCAGGGAAGCAGCUUGCCUAGGGAGCAAGAGGCUGUUAGUUUGAAUCCCUGCUGGUGUGCUUCCCAGACUAUGCCUAGUAAAAAUAUAUAUUUGUAGUCACCUAAAUCGGGCAGCAUCUACGGUAUAUAAGAAGGUGCUGGAGGUGGAUGCUCACUUCAGUGACUACAGCAAAGGCAUAAUCUCAUACUGCGUGGGAUGAAGGUGCAGUAAGCCACUCCUGUAUUCUACCAAGAAAACCACAUGGCUCCGUGGUUGCCAGGAGUCGACACCGACUCAACAGCACAAUCUUUCAUUUUUUCCCUUUCCAAUUUAUAUCUAGGGUUUAAAAAAAAUCCACUUUUUGCAUUGGUUUUUUGGGCAACUUUGAACUUGCAGUAAACCCGCAAUAAAGCCUGCUGUGUAAAAAACACCCAGGCAUUCGGACUUGCUUCUCCCUCCCUUCCAUUCUGGCCAGUACUGCAAAUCUGAUUGGCUGGCUGAGUGAGAGCAGGGCUGUGUCAUUUUUAACCUCUCCAUCCGGUGCUCAGGGUUGCUUUACUUUCUCUCCCUGGUGGGUCAGGAAACAGGAUGCAGGACUAGAUGUGUCCCCAUGAACUUCUGUCCAGUUUCUUCCCCUGGAUAUAAAUUGGAAAGGGGGAAAAAUGAAAGAUUGUGCCGUUGAGUCAGUGUUGACUCCUGGCAACCACGGAGCCAUGUGGUUUUCAUCAUAGAAUACAGGAGGGGUUUACUACGCCUUCAUCCUGCGCCUUCAUCCCACUCCCCACCACCCCGAGCCCCACAAAGCCAUGUUGUGACUGGCUCUUCUUCCCUAUGCCACUAUUUCAUUCUGAUAAUUCCCAAGGUUUUGCCCCCCCCCCCCAAAAAAGUAGCAGCUCCCAGAAGACUUAAGUCUGCCUAUCCCUGAGGUAGGUUGUUUUGAAUACAUACAAAAACCUGCAAAACCUUAUUACUGGAGUCAGCAGUAGGACGAGUGUACAUAUCACAAGCAGCAAUCUCUUUCAAUCCACCUGUGGUCAAGCUUUUUAGUUGUUUUAGUUGGAUUUUAUUGUCUUAACUUUAAAUUUUUAUAUAUGUUUUAAAAUAUGUUUUUAAAAUUGUUUUGUUUUAUUGUUGUAAACCACCUAGAGACUUUGGUAAUGGGCAGUGUAUAAAUGUGUCAAAUAAAUAAAUUAUAAGUCUUCAUACUUAUAACUGAAAUUGAUGUUAAACUAUUUAAUUUGUUUUCAUCUUAUGAGAUUGUUUUUGUUUUAUGAAAUUUUAACUGUUUUUACUCUGUUUUAUAUUUGUUGUGUUUUAAAUUCUGCACGCCCCCCCGCCCCCCAGAGAUACACAUAUUAGGCAGUAUAUGAUAAAUAAAUAAACAGAAUACUGAAGAGCUUCACAUUAUUGUUCUACAAAUAAUAGCUUAUUAUUGCUGAUAAUGACCCCUCCCUUCUCAUGAAGGGAUAAUAAUCCAGUAAUUAUAAUUAAAAA